GCCGGGCGUGGUGGUGCAUGCCUGUAGUCCCAGCUACUUGGGAGGCUGAGGCAGGAGAAUUGCUUGAACCUGGGAGGUGGAGGUUGCAGUGAGCAAGAGACUGCACCACUGCACUCCAGCCUGGGUGACAGAGCAAGACUCUGUCUCAA
rnacentral:SRP_RNA from 1 species